GGCCCCAUCGUCUAAUGGUAAGGACAGAUGGUUCUCAGCCAUCAGAUACGGGUUCAAAUCCCGUUGGGGCUA
rnacentral:tRNA from 1 species